rnacentral:rRNA from 1 species
UAACAUUGAUAGCUUUAAUACUAAGCUAUCCGCCCGGGAACUACGAGCAGUAGCUUAAAACCCAAAGGACUUGGCGGUGCUUUAGACCCCCCUAGAGGAGCCUGUUCUAGAACUGAUAACCCCCGUUCAACCUCACCAUCCCUUGUUUAACCCGCCUAUAUACCGCCGUCGUCAGCUUACCCUGUGAAGGUAAAAUAGUAAGCAUAAUGGCAAGCCNAAAACGUCAGGUCGAGGUGUAGUGAAUGAGAUGGGAAGAAAUGGGCUACAUUCUCUACCA